UCUAAGCAUAUUUUUAAAUUUUUUUUAGAUCUACUUGGCCGUUACGAUAAAAAAGGCUCUACAAUUGGUUAAAAGUAUGGAUGCAUUUACUCAUGCAUUACGAAAAUCCGUGACACAAAAUCCGGAAAACAUUAUUCAUUCAUAUGCAUAUUUUUUCAAACCUACAGUGGUUAAUGAGACGUAAGCAUCGAAAUGCACAAGAUUGAUGGCAAAGAUCGUCUUCAACCACACGCAUGUCUUUACAGCUCACUUGAGUGUUCUUAAAAUAAGUGUCUUAUUCAUAGUAAAUCAAUGUGCACAUAAUAUUUCAUCAAAAAACGUGUUUGUUUGUGCACAGAACGUGGUCAAAAGCGGUUGUGCUGUCUGCUUGUUUGUGUGGAAAAUAAAAGAUCUAUUCAUGGCAUUUCAUAGUUUGCACUCGAAGCGGAGUUUGCACUACACGUGGUUUGUGAUUGUUCACAGCCACAGUCCCAGUUCGCGGAAAUACGCGGUUUUCUAAAUUUAACAGUUCAGGUGUGAAACCAGUACCCAUUCUUCUUCUUCUUCUUUGGCUCAACAACCGAUGUCGGUCAAGGCCUGCCAGUACCAGUACCCAUUAAUUAUCUAUAAAUUUUGGCUGAUAAUUGCAAUAUUCGACAUACGCGCAAAUUUCUUCUCGGUCCGCAUUAAUAGCAUAUCUCGGGGACAACCUGUAGAGUAGUAAUAACAAUCGCUAUUCGGCAAGGACUGACUAUCCAGUUGCGUGGCUGCGUACGCACAAGAAGUAUGUAAAGACAAGCAUGACCACGUAGGUCGUUACGCCAAAGAAGAAGAAUAACAGGGAUUAAAAACAACUAAUGUAUCGAAAGAAUAACAACGAAAGCAACAACGAAAAACAACAGUUAUCCGCUACGGACUGUUCCAACCGGUUCUUGAGGUUCGUUCCUGUUACUUUGCACAAAUCAUUUGUUCUAUUGGCUGCGUUUGGUUUGCUCUGAUAUGGAAAUUCAUUCUAGGACAUAGUAAUCUGCAAUAUUGUUAAAUUUUUAUGUGAUGUAAGUUUUUUAGUGCUUCCGGACAAAAUAUUGACGCUGUCUGUUUGGCGGAUUUUGCAAUAUCUAUCUGUGAAACUGUUAAUGAGGUGGUAUACGACGCUUAGAAUGAAGACACGCUGUGCAAAAAUGAUACAUUUUAUGGUGGUCGUAAUGGUGAUAAUUAUCUGUGAUGUAAAAAAUGCAUCGUCUGCCACAAUUCAGGUAUCCGAAAAGAUGAACAAUGAAAGGGAAUCUUUAUCUGAAUCCAUAACUGGCAUAGACAACAAACCACAGCCAUCACUAACGGCGUACGAUCAGCGCCAAAGUGGGAAGUACAAUCUACGUGUUCACAUAAAGGAUGUAAAAAUAAUAGCUGUAAAUGGAGAUGGAUUGGAAGACAGUUUGGAUGACGACACCAUCUACGAUUAUGGUGAUUAUGAUUACGAUCCUGCUCAUCUCACUGUAAGCCCUCUUCCCUUGUUUGGAAUAGGAUCGGUGUCUAUAACCUCCAGCAAACCACCUAAAUUGACGACAAAUAGCAAACCGCAGUCAUCCACACGUGCUUCCACGGUAUCUACUACCAUUCAAUCCACAACGGAAUUGAAUGCACUCCCCCAGGAAGUGUCCUCGGUGUCACUGCCGUCAGAACAAACUGUUUCGACAACUGCUAAGACUACAACAACAUUUAAACCUUCCCACAUUAGUAGUAAUGCUGUGUUAAAACCAAUCCAAGCACCUGGACAAUAUGACUAUCAGGAAAUACCAGUGCAAGUUAUAGUUGAACGCAAACACUAAAUACUCUUCGUUUACUUUUGUGAUUGAGCAAAACGGCCACUUUUUCCAUAAAACAAACUAGCACCGAAUUGCUUGUCAAUACUGAACUGUGUAACUAGUAGUACAACGACUCGAGGAAAUCCUUUAGGCUAAUCUUAAAAUAACUGAUCAUUAAUCGAGUCAUUUCGAUUGAAUUGAAAUAUACAAUUUUACUUUGAAAUUUAA